GACGAACGCUGGCGGCGUGCUUAACACAUGCAAGUCGAACGGAAAGUCCCUGCUUUUGUGGGGUGCUCGAGUGGCGAACGGGUGAGUAACACGUGAGUAACCUGCCCUUGACUUUGGGAUAUCUUCAUGAAACUUGGGCUAAUACCGGAUAGGAGCUCCUGCUGCAUGGUGGGGGUUGGAAAGUUUCGGCGGUUGGGGAUGGACUCGCGUCUUAUCAGCUUGUUGGUGGGGUAGUGGCUUACCAAGGCUUUGACGGGUAGCCGGCCUGAGCGGGUGACCGGCCACAUUGGGACUGAGAUACGGCCCAGACUCCUACGGGAGGCAGCAGAGGGGAAUAUUGCACAAUGGGCGGAAGCCUGAUGCAGCAACGCCGCGUGCGGGAUGACGGCCUUCGGGUUGUAAACCGCUUUCGCCUGUGACGAAGCGUGAGUGACGGUAAUGGGUAAAGAAGCACCGGCUAACUCCGUG
rnacentral:rRNA from 1 species